UGGGGAAUUUUCCGCAAUGGGCGCAAGCCUGACGGAGCAAUACCGCGUGAGGGAGGAAGGCUCUUGGGUCGUAAACCUCUUUUCUCAGGGAAGAACACAAUGACGGUACCUGAGGAAUAAGCAUCGGCUAACUCCGUGCCAGCAGCCGCGGUAAUACGGAGGAUGCAAGCGUUAUCCGGAAUGAUUGGGCGUAAAGCGUCCGUAGGUGGUUUUGUAAGUCUGUGGUUAAAGCGCGGAGCUCAACUCCAUAAGGGCCAUGGAAACUACAAGACUAGAGUGAAGUAGGGGUAGAGGGAAUUCCCAGUGUAGCGGUGAAAUGCGUAGAAAUUGGGAAGAACACCGGUGGCGAAAGCGCUCUACUGGACUUAAACUGACACUGAGGGACGAAAGCUAGGGGAGCGAAAGGGAUUAGAUACCCCUGUAGUC
rnacentral:rRNA from 1 species